GGGGCACAUGAGCCGAUGAGGUGCACUUUCAAAUUGACACGGGGGUGUUACAUUUUCACAUUCUUGCUCACUCUGCCCAGGCUGAUAGGAGAGGGAGAUGGGGGAAGAGGGAGUUUUGUCUUUCUGGAUUUUUUUAAUCCCCUCCACAAGUUUCUGUUCCCAGUGACCCCUCUGCUGCAGAGUGUCUGUGUUAAGGGAGGUUAUUUUCGUUAACAACGGUCUGUGUUACCAGAGCUCUUCCCCAAGAGGUGGUGAAGGUGGCAGAUUGAUCUUCUGGCCUCUUCAAGCACUUGCCAACACCUGACCCGUAAGGACAUCACAGAUGCCUAAGCCAAGGACAAAUAAAAGCCUUAGCUUGGCUCUCCUGCGAACCGCAACAGCAUGUAUUUCCACCGGCCUCAACACCUUACACCGCCCUCUUGAAUGGAAACGUCACUGGAAAAUUUGCGUCCCAGAAGCCAUUGCAUUUACUCUCAGAGAUGUCCUUGCUCAAGUUUAAUAAGGAGAGUCUGCCUGGAUCAGUGCCAGAUUUCUUCAGGCUGACUGGAAGGUAAUUAAGUGGCAGCAGACUGGGGCAUGCUGUUUCAGGCAUCCGUAUGAAAUGAUAAUGGCAGGGCUGCUGCCUUAACAUAAAA